rnacentral:rRNA from 1 species
UACGUAGGGGGCAAGCGUUGUCCGGAUUUACUGGGCGUAAAGCGCGUGUAGGCGGUUGAGUAAGUCUGCUGUGAAAUCUCCGGGCUUAACCUGGAGGGGUCGGUGGAAACUGCUCGACUUGAGGACGGUAGAGGGGGGGGUGGAAUUCCCGGUGUAGUGGUGAAAUGCGUAGAGAUCGGGAGGAACACCAGCGGCGAAGGCGGCUACCUGGCCUGAUACUGACACUGAGGCACGAAAGCGUGGGAUCAAACAGG